rnacentral:lncRNA from 1 species
UGAGGAUGCUCAGGUGGAUGUGCGGGCUCACCAGGUUAGAUAAGAUUAAGAAUGAAGUUAUUUGAGAGAAGGUGGAGGUGGCCCCGGUUGAUGAGAAGAUGCGAGAAGCGAGGCUGAGGUGGUUCGGGCAUGUACGGAGGAGAAGUCAUGAUGCCCCGGUGAGGAGUUGUGAGCGGCUAGCGGUGGUCGGCGCACGGCGA